ensembl:lncRNA
GGUUUGUGUUUAUCUGCGUCAAAAGGAUUAGUGAUUAUUCAGAUGUGUGUCCCUCCCCGGCCUGGGAACUGUUACCCCGCCACUCUGUAGACACCAGCAGUCCCCGUUUCCCCCUACAGGGCCACAGAGGUGAGAGGGAGCAGACAGGCUGUAGGACGUGUGAAUCUGAAGGGGUUCACAUGGAACACCGCCUCCCCUCAAAUAGACGUCUGGGACAGUCUGGGUUCUGCACUCCCAGACAGGGAGCCCUUCCAUCCAUCAGAUGCUGCCCAACCCCGUCCCCCCUUCCCCUUGACCUUGACUCUCUGUCACCGUGGCCCUCCAGACAGUCUGGGGUCAAAGGGUAACACAGCAGGCACACAUCAGACACGGUUCAAGUCCCCUGUGUCCAUGUGAAUGCCGAAUGGUAAAUCACCCUAAAAAAAAUCAGCCUGUUGGAAUGUGACUUUGAAUUCCUGCAGCGAUGUACGCAGACACCUCAAGGACACCGUUGUUGUGACAAUGUGAAGCCCCUGGAAAACAAACGGAAUAUGGAUUCCAACAAAAAAUUGUAUUUUAAAAAAGGCCAACUGGCAGAGUGUGAAGCUGUGAUGAGCCACGUGUGAGCAUGCGCAGAGCGCUGAAAGAGUCUCAAAUGGGCUCGUCUCUCACAUGCUGUCACUCUCUCUUUCCCCUCCAUCUCUGAACUCUUUUAAACGUGCAUCACUGUUUCUUUUACCAAAACGAAUAUCGUUAUCGUCUAAUUCAGAGCCGUCCUCAUCUCCCCUCUAAUCUGAAUUAAAUUUGUAAAACAGCGUAUUUCUUUGGGAGAUAUUUGACAUUCUGAUAAGCUAAUUUAAAGUCGGGACGCAAACCACAGUGUUGGUGUUUGUGGGCGCAGGACCAGUACAGGAGGACAAACAAAAACACUGUUUAUGUCACAUUGAGGGCUGUUCUCUCAUUAUAGACGUGGACGAGCAAAGUGACACACACACACACACACACACACACACACACACACAGCUUCCUCUCCUCACUCACACGUCAGGUUAUUUAUCAGUGGACAAACAAGUAGAUCGCCUUUGUUGUUUGAGAUACAUUCGGGUUGCUGCUCAAAACCAUCAUCAGUUUUUCAAUGAAGCCUCACACACACCCACUGAUAUAGAUGGCGUUGUGAAUGCAGUUAUGUUAGCACUUUGAAUUUGAAAUACUUUUAGUAGAUAUAAAGUUAAAGCACAACCUUAUAUUGCAUUCGUUAAUACAAUUGAUAAAUAAGAGAUUGAGUACACUUAUUUUAAUUGCUAAUGCGGUUAUUGUGUUUUUUUAUUCACCUGUGUUAAUUUAAUUCAGCUCGUCGUUUAUAUACCACUGAGAGUGUCAUGGACAACAUGUUGGUACAAGGCUACAUCGGAUUUAAGUUCGUUUCACGAAAAAAAAAAUUCAGAAAAUAAGUCAGUAAAAAUAAUUAGUUAUUUUCUCUUUUUUAAAAACGGUUAUAAUUUCCGUUUGUAAACUACAAGCAGUACACUGUUGCUGUGUUAUUCACGGAGGGAAAUAAUAUCAAGUUCCUCUGCAUUUUGCAUCCUCGAAAGUCUCGUUAUAAAUCAAAAUAAAUCGAUUGCUUUUCAAUUAAUAAGAAUCGAACAUCAUCGCAUGGCGAGCCGUCACAAUAUGAACAAAAAUAAAUAAAUCGCCCCCCAUCAGGACCCGAGCGGACAAUCAUUAAGGUGACGACAGAUGAAAUAAGCUCGUGCGCUGAGAGGAACACGGUGCGUCCCAGCGGUCCUCCAAUAACUGCGUUACGGGCGGCGCUGAUGGAGUUACGCACCAAUCAGGGGGGAAGG